rnacentral:rRNA from 1 species
CAGCAGCCGCGGUAAUACGUAGGUGGCAAGCGUUGUCCGGAAUUAUUGGGCGUAAAGGGCUCGCAGGCGGUUUCUUAAGUCUGAUGUGAAAGCCCCCGGCUCAACCGGGGAGGGUCAUUGGAAACUGAGAAACUUGAGUGCAGAAGAGGAGAGUGGAAUUCCACGUGUAGCGGUGAAAUGCGUAGAGAUGUGGAGGAACACCAGUGGCGAAGGCGGCUCUCUGGUCUGUAACUGACGCUGAGGAGCGAAAGCGUGGGGAGCGAACAGGAUUAGAGACCCCCGUAGUCCCUGUCUCUUAUAC